rnacentral:rRNA from 1 species
CGGACCGGCGCGACGGGUGCGUAACGCGUAUGCAACCUACCUAUCAGGAGGGGGACUAACCCGGCGAAAGUCGGACUAAUACCGCAUGAAGCAGGGGCCCCGCAUGGGGAUAUUUGCUAAAGAUUCAUCGCUGAUAGAUAGGCAUGCGUUCCAUUAGGCAGUUGGCGGGGUAACGGCCCACCAAACCGACGAUGGAUAGGGGUUCUGAGAGGAAGGUCCCCCACAUUGGUACUGAGACACGGACCAAACUCCUACGGGAGGCAGCAG